GGAAAAAUCCUUGGAGAAGUUGUACCUGCUUUUCUCUGUGAAGAGAGCUGCGGCCACAGGAUGAGAACAAAGCUAAGAAGAAAUAGUCUUUCUCUUUGCUCUGUGGGGAAUACUGAAAAGCCAAAAAGAGAAACAUUCAAGCAGAACUACUUUCAAAUGCCCAGCUGCACAUGCUGACUGCUUCAACAAAAAGGAAAAAUUAAUGAAGAUGAAGAAGAGUCCUCCUCGUUGAUGUAUAUCAGGAACAUUAUUUAAGAGUGGCUCUUUCCAGCAGCAGUAUGUUUGUUCUCCCAAAACAGCCGCUGAUAGUGAGAAAUAAAGCCCAUUAUUGCACCAGUUCACCAUGUAAAAUGUGCACUGCAAAUACUUUUGAGCAGUUUAAUCUUAUGCAGUCUUUUUUCACUGUGAUCCUUUUGUAGUAAAGUAUGUACAGACGCAGCCUUAACUAACCAUAAUCUUAUAAAUUGGUUAUACUAAAACUACAUCCUUACACAGCAGCUUCUGCCACCACAGCCUUUGUGUUGAACCAGAUAUAUUAUUUUUGUUCUUUAUGCAGAAUUCAAAUCAUGCAUUUGAGUAACAAGAUGAACAUCUGGUACCAAUAAAUGUAGUUAAUUUAAAAAAGUGCAGUCUUAAAUGUUUCCAUUGGUUUUCUAGGCCUGAAAGUUUCCAGGAGAACAUUAAUUUAUUUCCAGCAUGAACUGGCUACAAGCUCAUUGUUACAUUAAGGGAUUACUUAGCUUAGACCUUCUCUUGGGCUGUUCCUCUGGUGAUGGACAAUAUCAGUAACUACAAUACAAUGAAGAGAAUGUUACUACAAUUCAUGAGGACACUUAACUGUCUACACGUUGACUGUGAGGACAGGUGCUAUCAGAUAUUAUACUGAUAUUACUUCUUAGAGUCUAUUAUAAAAUCUGUAUUUUUAUGACACAGUUCCUAUCAGUUUUCCUUCCUGGUGAGCCUUUGUACUGAAAUAAUCAUUGUAAGAUUAAAAAAAAAAAAAGUGCUUUUAUCCCCUAGAGAUUUAUAUU